rnacentral:rRNA from 1 species
CAGUCGCCGCGGUAAUACGAAGGGGGCUAGCGUUGCUCGGAAUUACUGGGCGUAAAGGGCGCGUAGGCGGAUGAUUAAGUCGAGGGUGAAAGCCCGGGGCUCAACCUCGGAACUGCCUUUGAUACUGGUCAUCUUGAGUACGGGAGAGGUGUGUGGAACUCCGAGUGUAGAGGUGAAAUUCGUAGAUAUACGGAAGAACACCAGUGGCGAAGGCGACACACUGGCCCGUUACUGACGCUGAGGCGCGAAAGCGUGGGGAGCAAACAGGAUUAGAUACCCCUGUAGUCCCUGUCUCUUAUAC